AGAGGGAGCUGAAGCCCAUCAUCACUACCAUCAAGCUAGCAAUUAAGCUUAUAUUUGCUCAUACAAAUAUCUCUUUGUGAAGAAGAAUUCAGAAGAUGGCCUCCAUGAAGCUUGAGAAACCUGCUGGCUCUCAACCUGCUGCCCCUUCCAAGAAGGAGGCCAAAGCUCCGGCCUCCAAAUCGACCCCCAAGAAGCCUCGAGAGCCCAAGAAGAAGACAUCAGGUAGCAAGUCAUCUGCUGCUAAAAACUAAGGAGAAGGAUGAUUGAAAAGUUUAAGACUUAAAGACUCUAUAUAUAUAUGUAUGAUGUAUCUGUGUGAUUUUCAUAUAAAGCAGAUGUGGCUGCUGGUUUUAGUUUUUGCAUGAUGUAAUUAAAGCACUUACUGGCUUGUAAGCUUGAUUGCAUCUGCCUUAUAAUGUUAUAUUUGCCUUAAUGGUUUUUAUUCUCUA